rnacentral:rRNA from 1 species
UACAGAGGUCUCAAGCGUUGUUCGGAUUCAUUGGGCGUAAGGGUGCGUAGGCGGCUUGGCAAGUCGGAUGUGAAAACUCCAGGCUCAACCUGGGAGCCGCCAUUCGAUACUGCUAUGGCUAGAGUCCGGUAGGGGAGUGUGGAAUUCCCGGUGUGAGCGGUGAAAUGCGCAGAUAUCGGGAGGAACACCGAUGGCGAAGGCGGCUUCCUGG